AAGUGGGGCACUGAAGUCACCCACUAUUCCUAUAUAAGGGUCAAUAUGUGAUGGUAGCUAUAAUAUUGUUUUGUUUUUUAACGAACGGGUGCUCUUUUGUUUGAUGUACAAUUGAAAUAUCUUUUUUUACUCUCCAAUGAUAUCUAUCCUUGAUGUUAAGAUGUGGUUUUUAGAUGUGGCAGAAGGAUCAAUCCUGUUUGCAAAUCUCAUUUGUCUAUUUCAUUUUAUUGGGGAAUUCAGACUACUGUGAUUGCGUGUUAUCAGAAAGCAGUGUUUGUUGUUCCUGUCAUUUUGUUGUGAGGUAGGUUUUUUUUUUUUUUUCCUCUUCUUUGUUUGCUGAUCUGAAAUUACUUAAUUCUUUGAUGUUUGUGCUUGUGGUUAACUUCUUCAGGGUAGUUUUUUUUCACAUGCCUUUUGUAGACCUAGAUUUGUAGGUAGAUACUGCUUAAAUUUGUUUUUAUCAUGGGAUGUUAUUCUUCUCCAUCUAUUGUGGUUGACAGUUUUUCUGAGUAUAAUAGUCUAGACUGGCAUCUGUCAUCUCUUAAAGUUUGUAGUUCAUUCAGACCCUUCUGGAUUUUUUGAGUCUCUAUUAAGAAGUCAGUUGUUAUUCUAAUAGCUCUGCUUUUAUUUCACUUAAUCUUCUUUUCCUUGAAGCUUUAUUAUUUUUCUUUGUCCUGUAUGCUUAGUGUUUUUAUUAUUAGGUGUCAUGGGAAAUUUCUUUUCUGAUACAGUCUAUUUGGUGUUUUGUGUAUUUCUUGUACCUUGAUUGGUUCUCCUUCCAUAGGAAAAUUUUCUUCUAUGGUUUUGUUGAAAAUAUUUUCUGGGCCUUUGACCUCAAUUCUACUUUUUACUCUAUUCCUAUUAUUUGUAGAUUUUGCCUAUAGAUCCUAUAUAUCCUGAAUGUUUCAUGUCUGCAUUACUUUAGAUUUAACAUUUUCUUUGAUUAAGGUAUGCACUUCAUCUAUGUUUUCUUCCAUGUCUGAGAUUCUCUCUUUCAUCACUUUAAUUCUGUUGUUGAAGCUUAACCCUGAAAUUUUUUUUUGUCUGACUUUACAAAUUUAACCUUAGUUUUGGUUUUCUUUAGUGAUUUUAUCUCUACUUUUAUAUCUUGAACUGUUUCCCUCAUUUCAUACUAGUUUGUUUUUGUCUUCAUAGAUUUUGUUAAUGGAGCCAUUUAUUUCUUAUUAAAGAUACUUGAACAUAUUCAUAACAUCUAUUUUGAAGUCUCACACUGUUAACCAGUCCUGGGGGUUUGGGUUGCUCUGACCACCCCUUCUAUUGGUCAGGAAUCAUUCUCCAGAUGCUGGACUGAUACUCGAAGAAGAUUAGGAGAACCUCCAUUGGUCUUUUCAGUCUUGUUUUCAGCUUACAGAUGGAGACAAAAAUUCUUCAGGUCCUCUGCUGGUUUGCAUUCUGAACAAUUGGAGCAAGUUAGACUCUUAGGAAGAGAGUUUUGAUCUUUUUCUCCACCUGAACAUGGCCUAAAUAUCAUCUAGGAAAUAAUAAAAAAUGGCUUCCGGGUGAAGCUCUAAAUUGUUGUAAACAGUGAGCUGGUCUGUAAAUUAAAGGAAAAAUUCCCUAUGCCUAAUUUUUCUUUUACCUGUGGGAUCAUUCAGACCUUGGUAAAUCAAUUUAAUUCAUCUGUUUCUUCAGAUACUUUUGUUAAUGAUUGUCAAUGAAUGGGUUUUUGAGGUAUGGUUGAACAUUGAUUAUGUCUUUUCUCAGAAGACAUUACUGCUUAAUUACAAUUGCAUAAGAAAGCAAUGUUCCUCACAGCUUCAGUGAAGCUACAGUCAUUAGGUAACCGUUGCUUCAAUCUUUAGCACUGCCUGCUACCCAAAAUGCAUACAAUGACUUUUAUUGAUUCUAUCCAAUUUCUUUAACUCUUCCUGCACCUAAGGCCGUGCUCUCAUUUCUCACCAUAAAAACCUAUCUGAUGCACCUUCUAAGGAGAGCUCUCAAUUUCCUUUGCUUAAAACUCACCUACAAAGCUGAGUGAUAGCCCCACCUCUCCAAAAAAACAUUUACACAGCAGAUGACUCUAGGUCCACAGUAAUAAACUUUACUCACUGGGCUACCAUGGUUAUUUCUUCUCCACAUCAUUUAACUGUGACCUUCUAGCUAAAGUGAUGUGAAGGUACAUAGUCAACUUCAUAUCAAAACAAUUGCUUUUAGAGGCCAGAGACAUAGCUCAGGAAGGAAGCAUGAAGGCAUAUGUUAAAUCCCCAAACCCACGUUUAAAGCUGAAGAUAGUAGCAAGUGCUUGUAAUCUCAGCUCUGAGGAGGCAGACACAGGUUGUUCCUGCAAUUCUUGGGACAGCCAGCUCAGGCCACUAUCUUGUCAAGCUGCAGGCUAGUAAAAGACAUCGUCUC
rnacentral:lncRNA from 1 species